CGAAUGCUGACAUAAGUAACGAUAAAGCGGGUGAAAAGCCCGCUCGCCGGAAGACCAAGGGUUCCUGUCCAACGUUAAUCGGGGCAGGGUGAGUCGACCCCUAAGGCGAGGCCGAAAGGCGUAGUCGAUGGGAAACAGGUUAAUAUUCCUGUACUUGGUGUUACUGCGAAGGGGGGACGGAGAAGGCUAUGUUGGCCGGGCGACGGUUGUCCCGGUUUAAGCGUGUAGGCUGGUUUUCCAGGCAAAUCCGGAAAAUCAAGGCUGAGGCGUGAUGACGAGGCACUACGGUGCUGAAGCAACAAAUGCCCUGCUUCCAGGAAAAGCCUCUAAGCAUCAGGUAACAUCAAAUC
rnacentral:rRNA from 1 species